GUCCACGCCGUAAACGAUGAGAACUAGCCGUUGGGACCCUUGAGGUCUUGGUGGCGCAGCUAACGCGAUAAGUUCUCCGCCUGGGGAGUACGGCCGCAAGGUUAAAACUCAAAUGAAUUGACGGGGGCCCGCACAAGCGGUGGAGCAUGUUGUUUAAUUCGAUGCAACGCGAAGAACCUUACCACCCCUUGACAUCCUGCGAAUUUUCUAGAGAUAGAUUAGUGCCUUCGGGAACGCAGUGACAGGUGCUGCAUGGCU
rnacentral:rRNA from 1 species